rnacentral:rRNA from 1 species
CCCUACGGGGCGCAGCAGGCGCGAAAACUCUACAAUGCAGGCAACUGCGAUAGGGGAACAUCGAGUGAUACUCAUAUUGGGUGUCUGUCCCACCGUCUAAAAAACGGGUGUUAGCAAGGGCCGGGCAAGACCGGUGCCAGCCGCCGCGGUAAUACCGGCGGCUCGAGUGGUGGCCGAUAUUAUUGAGUCUAAAGGGUCCGUGGCCGGCUUUGCAAGUCCUGUGGGAAAUCCAGCGGCUUAACCGUUGGGCGUCCGCGGGGUACUACAUUGCUUGGGACUGGGAGAGGUAGGAGGUACUCAGGGGGUAGGUAGUGUAUCCUGUAAUCCA